CUCAGUUUGAACCAGUUUGCAAAAACCCUAAUUUCAGAGUUCGCUACGGUAUAGGGUUCCGUCAAAGCUAACCAGUACACUGGCGGAACACCGAGCCAUCGGCCAACCGGCAGAGAGCAUCAUCGCAAAUGGACUUCGACGAGUACGAUUAUCUGGAGAAGACUGUGGAAGAGACCAACGGUACUUCUACGAAGAGCAAAGACAAAGACAAUAACAGCAGCGCCGAGAAGGAGAAGAGCGAGAAAGGCUAUCGUCGAAGGGAGAGAGAUGGAAGUGAGGAAUACGCCGACGACGACAAUAGAGAGCGCCGGAGCAGCAAAAAGUCUCGCGGGGACGGCGAAAGCAUCAGAGAGAAGGAUAAGGAGAGAGAUAGGGAAAGGUCAUCGAGGCAUCGGAGUAGGGAACGGGAAUCUGAGAGGGACAAAGAAAGAAGCUCAAAAGACCGUGACCGUGACAGAGAGAAAAGGGAAAAGGAGAAAGAGAAAGAGAGGGAUAGAGACAGGGAGAAGGAGAAGGAACGUGAUAGAGAUAGGAAGAGUAGAGAUCGGGAUAGAGAUAAGGAGCGAGAUAAGGAGAAAGAUAGGGAGAGGGAGAGGUCAAGGAGGAGCCGUAGUCGCUCGAGAAUCGAGCGAGAGCGAGAGAAAGAGAUGUUGAGAGACAGCGAGCGUGACUUUGAAUCACGGGACAGCAGGAGAUUCAAGGAGAAGAAAGAAAAAAUAGAACCAGAAGCUGAUCCAGAAAGGGACCAGAGAACUGUUUUUGCUUACCAGAUGCCCUUGAAGGCGACUGAAAGGGAUGUGUAUGAGUUUUUCUCACAAGCAGGAAAGGUGAGGGAUGUGCGGUUAAUCAUGGACCGGAAUUCAAGGCGAUCUAAAGGAGUUGGGUACAUUGAGUUUUAUGAUGCUAUGUCCGUGCCAAUGGCUAUUGCUUUAUCUGGUCGCUUGCUCUUUGGCCAACCAGUAAUGGUAAAACCUUCUGAAGCUGAAAAGAACCUUGUUCAGUCAACUGCGUCUGGUGGUGGAUCAGGGUUGGCGGGGCCAAAUGCUGCCUCAGAAAGAAAACUUUAUGUUGGAAAUCUUCACUUUAACAUGACAGAAUUGCAGCUUAGACAGAUUUUUGAAGCUUUUGGGCCAGUGGAGCUUGUUCAAUUACCUACAGAUCCUGAAACAGGACAUUGCAAAGGAUUUGGGUUUGUCCAAUUUGCUCAACUUGAACAUGCUAAGGCGGCUCAAAGUUUGAAUGGUAAGCUUGAGAUUGCGGGUCGGACCAUCAAGGUUUCAUCCGUUACUGAACAUGUUGGAGUACAAGAUGCUGGAGCUAAAACUGCAGACUUUGAUGAUGAUGAAGGGGGUGGCCUGGCAUUGAAUGCUCAGUCAAGGGCCAUGCUUAUGGCAAAAUUGGACCGCAGUGGUGUUGCUUCAGGUGUUGCGGGUACACUAGGAGUUCCUGCACUUAAUGGUGCAGCUCAGCCAGCAAUGAGCAUGCCAAUGGGUGGAGCAACAGCUUUUCAGAAUAUGCUCCCAACACAACUCAUUGCUUCCAUGGCUCCCGAACCCAUUGGGAUACCCAGCGAGUGUUUGUUAUUAAAAAACAUGCAGGGGGGUCACCAGAAAAGAUCGAGGCAGGAUGACAAUAAUCAUGGAACAACUGAGAUUAGCUUGAUGGAAGAAGAGGGAAUGUAAACCAGUGACCGAUAGCUUCCAAUUCAAAGAGUUCUGAAUCUAUGGGUUAUGGCUUGUGAUACUCAAUUGUGUGAACAUUUUAUUUUACCAUUGCAGAAAACAUGAGAAGUUUUGAGGAAGCAUGAUGUCCUGGAAGAUCGUGAUCCCAACAUAGAUUGACCCGAUGAUCAAGAAAGAUCUGUUAGACUGAAUUAAUUGCAGUUUGUAUGACAAAAACGCCUAUUUUUGCUUCUUUUGCAGGUCCUUCAUGGAACAUAACCAGAAAGUGAAGUAGCAUUAGUUGAAAGGUUGAGUGUCAAGUUUGUGCCAUCUUGGAUGAACUCUGCUGAGUUUCUUGUGAACUACUUUUUGAGCUCAUGUAUGGUGAACUUUUACCUCUGUCAGUAGGUAGUAAUUUCUUAAUUGUAUGUCUAUUUGAGGAUUUUAAUUACCCCUUGUCCUUCUAGUAAUCUCAAUAUUGUGAAGGAAGGUAUAUAUAUCAACUAUCCUUUCUUGUGAGGGAAUUGUGCCUUCCACUGAAGAAUUUGAAUGUCCUUGAGCAUUAUGUUCUCAUAUCCUGUACUCAUUAACUGAUGUGAACUAAUGAUAGGGUAGUUUCAUAAAGCUUUCUAAUUAAGUAGCUUAGUC
rnacentral:misc_RNA from 1 species